rnacentral:lncRNA from 1 species
UGGCAUAUUAUCUUAUAAAAUUUUAAAAUAUAAUAAAUUAUUUUUUUUUUCUAUUUUGACGGAUGAAAAUUUAAAACAAUACAAACCAAAUAUAGGUUCAUUGUAUUUUUCAAUCUCAAUUCUCAUUUAUCAUAACUAGAAAAGAAAAAUUAAUUUAUUUGUAUAGUAAGUUCUUACAAAAUUAUGGGGGAGAUACACACUUAAAGAGCUCUAUAGUACAGGGGUCUUUAAUUAUUCUUCUUUGGAAAAGUCUACCUGUACUCCUAUAGGAAGGUGUAUAUCCUACACCCGUAUGAUCCAACGGCUAUUAUUAGAUCACUAGCACAGUAGCAGCUAACUUCACUCCCCUUUUUAUUUUUUCUUCCUAAAGCUAAACCCUACUACACAUCUCUCUCUCUCUCUCUCCCCUACACCUCCUUCUCGGUCCCGCUCGCUCCCUCGGUCCCGCUCGCUCCCUCACCUCUCUCUUGAUCUCGCGCCUCUCUCGUCACCUCUCUCGUCAUCUCGCGCUCUCCCCUUUCUCUUUCUCUCGCUCUCGCUCGUAGGGCACUCCACUCCAUCGGGCAGAAGUUCGGCAGCGCUCGUUCC